rnacentral:rRNA from 1 species
AUGUACAUUCCUACAACAUAGCGUUAACGCAUUGAAUCCCAUUAGAACUCCACAGUUAAGCACGCUCGGGCUAGAGUAGUACUGGGAUGGGUGACUUCCCAGGAAGUACUAGUAUUUUACAUG